rnacentral:rRNA from 1 species
GAUGAACGCUGGCGGCGUGCCUAAUACAUGCAAGUCGAGCGAACGGACGAGAAGCUUGCUCCUCUGAUGUUAGCGGCGGACGGGUGAGUAACACGUGGAUAACCUACCUAUAAGACUGGUAUAACUUCGGGAAACCGGCGCUAAUACCGGAUAAUAUUUUGAACCGCAUGGUUCAAAAGUGAAAGACGGUCUUGCUGUCACUUAUAGAUGGAUCCGCGCUGCAUUAGCUAGUUGGUAAGGUAACGGCUUACCAAGGCAACGAUGCAUAGCCGACCUGAGAGGGAGAUCGACCACACUGGAACUGAGACACGGUCCAGACACCUACGGGAGGCAGCAGUAGGGAAUCUUCCGCAAUGGGCGAAAGCCUGACGGAGCAACGCCGCGGGAGUGAUGAAGGUCUUCGGAUCGGAAAACUCUGUUAUUAGGAAAGAAGAAAUGUGUUAGUAACUGUGCACAUCUUGACGGUACCUAAUCAGAAAGCCCCGGCUAACUACGUG